GCGGUCGGGUGAGUAACACGUGGGUAACCUGCCUGUAAGACUGGGAUAACUCCGGGAAACCGGGGCUAAUACCGGAUGCUUGUUUGAACCGCAUGGUUCAAACAUAAAAGGUGGCUUCGGCUACCACUUACAGAUGGACCCGCGGCGCAUUAGCUAGUUGGUGAGGUAACGGCUCACCAAGGCAACGAUGCGUAGCCGACCUGAGAGGGUGAUCGGCCACACUGGGACUGAGACACGGCCCAGACUCCUACGGGAGGCAGCAGUAGGGAAUCUUCCGCAAUGGACGAAAGUCUGACGGAGCAACGCCGCGUGAGUGAUGAAGGUUUUCGGAUCGUAAAGCUCUGUUGUUAGGGAAGAACAAGUACCGUUCGAAUAGGGCGGUACCUUGACGGUACCUAACCAGAAAGCCACGGCUAACUACGUGCCAGCAGCCGCGGUAAUACGUAGGUGGUAAGCGUUGUCCGGAAUUAUUGGGCGUAAAGGGCUCGCAGGCGGUUUCCUUAAGUCUGAUGUGAAAGCCCCCGGCUCACAACAUUAUUCCCAUUCCAUGCUCGAGAA
rnacentral:rRNA from 1 species